CCAACACUGGUUGGGCACAAAUGGCUUCUUUAAGCUUUCUGUAUGCUUGUUCAGUCGCUGGGGACCAUUUUACCACUACUGGAGCAUUAGCUUUAGAAAGGUCAGUUAAUGGGCUUCCAAUUGUAGCAAAAUUGGAUAUAAAUCUCCUGUAAUAUCCAAAGAGGCCAAGAAAUGUUCUCACCUGUUUCUUAGUCAGUGGUCUUGGCCAAUUUUGUAUGGCUUCGAUUUUAGCAACUUG